rnacentral:ncRNA from 12 species
AGAAGUAUGUAAUAAUAGCUUAGAAAAUGCUGCGGUAUUUCCCUCGAAAUAUUCGAGACUUCAAAGUCGCAGAUAAACCACUUUCUAAGACACUACUUCU